AGUUUGAUCCUGGCUCAGAACGAACGCUGGCGGCAGGCCUAACACAUGCAAGUCGAACGGUAACAGGAAGCAGCUUGCUGCUUUGCUGACGAGUGGCGGACGGGUGAGUAAUGUCUGGGAAACUGCCUGAUGGAGGGGGAUAACUACUGGAAACGGUAGCUAAUACCGCAUAACGUCGCAAGACCAAAGAGGGGGACCUUCGGGCCUCUUGCCAUCAGAUGUGCCCAGAUGGGAUUAGCUAGUAGGUGGGGUAACGGCUCACCUAGGCGACGAUCCCUAGCUGGUCUGAGAGGAUGACCAGCCACACUGGAACUGAGACACGGUCCAGACUCCUACGGGAGGCAGCAGUGGGGAAUAUUGCACAAUGGGCGCAAGCCUGAUGCAGCCAUGCCGCGUGUAUGAAGAAGGCCUUCGGGUUGUAAAGUACUUUCAGCGGGGAGGAAGGCGAUGUGGUUAAUAACCGCGUCGAUUGACGUUACCCGCAGAAGAAGCACCGGCUAACUCCGUGCCAGCAGCCGCGGUAA
rnacentral:rRNA from 1 species